GUCUCCUCCUCCACCGUCGCCUUCUCCUCCACCUCCAUACUAUUACCACUCUCCACCUCCUCCAGUAAAGUCUCCUCCUCCUGCUUAUUACUACAGCUCACCUCCUCUACUCGUGAAAUCACCUCCUCCACCAGUAUACAUUUAUGCGUCUCCGCCACCUCCAAUCCACCACUAAGUGUUUCUAAGAGCUCAGCCAUUCUCCACAAUCAAUCAAAUUUUAGUUUGAAGCACUAAAAUAUAAAAGCUAGCUUCUUGAGAAAAAGAUUCAAGCGUCAAAUGAUACAAAGCAACUAAUUUAUGGAAUAAGAUAUUCAACCUUUCAAUUGAAGGAUUGAUUCUUAUUGCACAUUGUUCUCUAGUGUAUUCACGUGGACAAGGCUAAAAUAACUUUGAUUCUUCAUAAAUAGAGUUUGUUUUUUAGUAAUUUAUUGUUGUAUUGAGGAUGCCCUCGUUUUAUUCAUUUCCAAUUAAUUAUUGCAAGCUGUUUUCUUGUAAUACCUUGGUGUACUUUGUACACAAAUCAAUAAGAAGAUCAAUUUUGUUGUA